CAAGUCCCCAACCGACCCAGGAGCCCAGCCAGCUUCACCUCUCACUUUGACCUUUCUAUUAGACCCAAGAAAUAAUCACUGCUUUGGUUUGAGUGUUUGCAACCUUCAAAAAUUCAUAUAUAAACUGAAUCCUUAUUGUGGUUGUAUUAAGAUGUGGGGUCUUUGGGAAGAACAAGAUACCACCUUGAAGGUAGAGAGCUGGGAUGAUGGAAAAGUGAGCAUGCCAAAGGAUAUGAAAUAUAAUAUCAACAAAUGAGAAAAAAAGACUGGAUUAGAAUGUACAUCAUGGUGGGAAGCAUAGAACUCCAUUCUCUAGCCACGACAAUGAACAAUGAUGCCAAUCAUAGUGUUACAUCCCCAUCACUACAGUCAUUACUCCAGGGAUAUGCUCGUGAUUCAAGCCAGUUAAUCAGUGAUGUAUUUCUGCUUACAGAAGUGUCAUGAGGUAAGACUGAAGAUGUCCAUUUCCAGGGCUCCAGUCUUUGGAGAAGGUGGUCAGAGAGAAUGA